GGGAUUUUUAUUUAUCUAUACAUAACAAAAAUUACACAUUUCCCAGUCUUACAAUAUCUCAUACCUUUCACAACAUAACAAAAAUUUCACCAAGAAAAGUUUACAUCACUCAAAUUCUCAGGACUGACGUUUUAACACUUGAAGAAGAGGAGAACUGGAAACCAACCAAAACAGGAAUACGUGACAUCAUGAAGAAACUGAAUACAUAAACUUAUAUUUUUCCUAGUGCUAACAAAUAUAUCUCACAUCACGAUUUCAGGUUUCAAUAUGCUGGAUUUGAUCUCCUUGUGGGGCAAAACUACACCACCAUUGCUGUAAAUUUCAUCACAAACAUGAACAUCUUCUCCGAGAAUGGUCAUGUUCUCAACACGAGCCCAUUGUCCAACAGUAGAGUGCCAACCAAUGAUGCUACCUGAGAUGCAUGCAUGUUUCUUGAUGCGGACUCCUCGCAUCACAGUGCAACGGGAGAGUCUAACUCCAGACUCAAUCACACAACCAGAACCAAUUGCAACAUCUGGUCCUAUCAAACAACCCUCUCCGAUCUUAGCAGAUUCAUCCACUAUGACAUUUCCGACAAUGUGUGGUCCUGAAGCCAAUUUAGGUGAAGAGUGUUUCUUUAAAGAAUCCAGAUAGAGUCUGAGGCCAGUAAUGUAAUCUCUUGGUUGGCCAACGUCCAUCCAAAAUCCAGGUAGCACCAUUGCAUACAGUUUCUUCUCUGCUGCAAUUUUCGGAAAAACCUCUUUCUCAAUAGAUGUUGGCCGUAAUUGAAUUCUGUCUAGGACAGAAGGGUUCAGUAGGUAAAAUCCAGCGUUGAUCUUGUUGCCAACAAAUAACUUUGGCUUCUCCACAAAUCUCUCUACUUGCCCUGUGGAUUCUUCCAUGACGACAACACCAUAUUUAGAAGGCUCAUCCACCUUGGUCACCAUCAAAGAAGCCUCACCACCAUGGGAUUUGUGGAAUUGAAUCAUCUCCUUAAAUGGAUAUUCACUGAUAACAUCACUGUUAAGAACAAAAAAUGGUUCACCAGAGUCAUCUAUCAGCUUAUCUCUAGCCAAAGCAAGAGGACCAGCAGUGCCAAGUGGUUCAGUUUCUUGAGAACAGGUGAUCUUGAUUCCAAGGCUUGCCUCAAAUUCUUUCAAGAAGUUCAGCAUCACCUCAGGUUGGUAGUUAAUAGCCAGUACAACUUCGGUUACUCCAACAGCCUUGAGAGCCUCGAUCUGAUGCAAAAUCAUUGGUUUGUUAGCAAAUUCGACAAGUGGCUUUGGGACGCUGAGGGUGAGUGGCCUGAGCCGAGUACCGAACCCUCCAACAAGGAUAAGUGCCUUCAUCUUGAGAUACCAAUAUUCCUGUAGAUCGAGAAAAUCCAAAGACUGAAUUGAAGAAUGAGUGGACUCAAGUCAGAGAGAGAGAGAGAGCCAAGCAAACAAAGAAGAAAAGAAGGGGAGGGGAGGGGAGUGAGUGUGUUUAGGGAGUUUGUUAAAAGAUCGAUCGGUGUUAGAAAAGCC
rnacentral:misc_RNA from 1 species